rnacentral:rRNA from 3 species
UACGUAGGGUGCGAGCGUUGUCCGGAAUUAUUGGGCGUAAAGGGCUCGUAGGCGGUUUGUCGCGUCGGGAGUGAAAACCAUGGGCUUAACUCAUGGCUUGCUUCCGAUACGGGCAGACUAGAGGUAUGCAGGGGAGAACGGAAUUCCUGGUGUAGCGGUGAAAUGCGCAGAUAUCAGGAGGAACACCGGUGGCGAAGGCGGUUCUCUGGGCAUUACCUGACGCUGAGGAGCGAAAGUGUGGGGAGCGAACAGG